GACGAACGCUGGCGGCGCGCCUAACACAUGCGAGUCGAACGGAGCUGAGAGAAGCUUGCUUUUCUUAGCUUAGUGGCGAACGGGUGAGUAACGCGUGAGUAACCUGCCCUGGAGUGGGGGACAACAGUUGGAAACGACUGCUAAUACCGCAUAAGCCCACGAUCCGGCAUCGGAUUGAGGGAAAAGGAUUUAUUCGCUUCAGGAUGGACUCGCGUCCAAUUAGCUAGUUGGUGAGGUAACGGCCCACCAAGGCGACGAUUGGUAGCCGGACUGAGAGGUUGAACGGCUGCGUUGGGACUGAGACACGGCCCAGACUCCUACGGGAGGCAGCAGUGGGGGAUAUUGCACAAUGGGGGAAACCCUGAUGCAGCGGCGCCGCGUGGAGGAAGAAGGUUUUCGGAUUGUAAACUCCUGUCGUUAGAGACGAUAAUGACGGUACCUAACAAGAAAGCACCGGCUAACUACGUG
rnacentral:rRNA from 1 species